GAUGAAGAACGUAGCGAAAUGCGAUAAGUAAUGUGAAUUGCAGAAUUCAGUGAACCAUCGAAUCUUUGAACGCACAUUGCGCCCGGCAGUAAUCUGCCGGGCAUGCCUGUCCGAGCGUCAUUUCUGCCCUCGAGCCUGUCCAGCAUCUAGGUGCUGUUCCGGCCCGGCGUUGGGGCACUACGGGAAGCCUCGUGCUUUCCCCCGUAGGCCCCGAAAUGAAGUGGCGGUCCUGCCGCGGCUCCCCCUGCGUAGUAUUACAGCUCGCUUCGGGACCCGGUGGAGGCCUGCCGUCAAACCUUCUCUCUAAGUUUGACCUCGGAUCAGGUAGGGUUACCCGCUGAACUUAAGCAUAUCAAUAAGCGGAGGA
rnacentral:misc_RNA from 1 species